UCGCUUCAGCAGCACAUAUACUAAAAUUGAAAGAUUCAGAAAACGUUAGCAUGGCCCCUGUGCAAGGAUGACCCCCAAAUUUGUGAGGCGUUUCGUGUCCUG
ensembl:snRNA U6 U6 spliceosomal RNA